rnacentral:rRNA from 1 species
UAGGGAAUCUUCCGCAAUGGACGAAAGUCUGACGGAGCAACGCCGCGUGAGUGAAGAAGGCUUUCGGUUCGUAAAACUCUGUUGUUAGGGAAGAAAAAAUGUAUAGUAACUAUAUACAAAAGAGACGGUACCUAACCAGAAAGCCACGGCUAACUACGUGCCAGCAGCCGCGGUAAUACGUAGGUGGCAAGCGUUGUCCGGAAUUAUUGGGCGUAAAGCGCGCGCAGGUGGUUUAGAAAGUCUGAUGUGAAAGCCCACGGCUCAACCGUGGAGGGUCAUUGGAAACUAAUAAACUUGAGUGCAGGAGAGAAAAGUGGAAUUCCUGGUGUAGCGGUGAAAUGCGUAGAGAUUAGGAGGAACACCGGUGGCGAAAGCGGCUUUUUGGCCUGCAACUGACACUGAGGCGCGAAAGCGUGGGGAGCAAACAGG